UUCCUGGAAGCAGAAACACUGCAGCUAUUCCAGAAACCUUCUGCAUAGUCUUCCGUAACAAUCAGUCUCCUGGCUGUAUGCUCUCCAAUAACAUCACCUAAGUGAUUUCCCCCCAGGCAAUAAGGUUAAGUCAUGGGAAACAAUUUCUAUUUUUAAUAACAUUUUUGCUAAAUAUCCUGUCCCUGACUUUCCCCAGAGGCUUAGAAUCCAUCUGCAAUAAGGGGGCUUUAAAAGGGCUUUAAUAAUAAAUAUAAUACCGCCAUUCUUUUAUGCUUGUAACUAUUCAUGCUUGAGUGAAUUCCCUGAUCUUUUUAUGGGUCUGUUGAAAUAUAUUGUGCAAGUCAAGGGCAGGCCUGUUUUUAAGCUUCUUGUGUUCCCCUGCUUUAAUUCUUUUUAUCUCUAGCUAACAGUCCAGAUAAUGUGGUCCUGAUGUUGUAUUUAUCCAUGCACAAUAGCAACAAAGCCCAGGGAGCAGCACGCAAGCUUGCUGCACCCCUAGGGGCUGUGACUACCCAGUGCUGUCUCUCGAAGACCAUCAGGGCUCUGGUAGGAGUACUGCACUGAGCUACACCACCAGGAGACUUCCAUGGGACAGAGAUGUCUACCCUUGGCCCUACCUUCAGUCUACCUGCCUUGACUUGGAGAGGAGUCUUAGAGCCAUCAGAAAUGUACAUUUGAAACAAAAGAAAAAAAAAAAAACAGCAUCCUUCUCAAUACCUUUUCAGCCCAGCCUUAUGCACAUCCUGCAAAGGCAUUCCUUUUGUUUACUUCUAGAGUUCAAACAGCCUGGAGAUCUGUGACUUUCCCCUCCUCUUUUAGGAACCCUCAAGAAACAGACUCCCUCGCUCUAAAGCUGUCAGAGCCCUGACAGCCUCAAUAGCCCUGCCCAGCCUCACCUGGGCCCUCCACCCAGCCCACUGCUCCACCAGCUCUGUUUAAUCUCAGAUCUGAGCCUUCAGGCCUGACCGGAGCAAUGCUGUAGGUGUGCCUGAGCUGUCCCCCAGCAGCUGCUGCGGAGAGAGCCUCUGUAGCUUCUUUCCUUGGAGAUUUUUUUUUCAUCUGAGCUGUUGCUUUCUGUGUCAGACCCUUUUCAUCUCAGGCCUUUCUUCUGCUGAGCAGCCAGGCUGUGUUCCUGCCCUGGGUGUCUUUGCUCAGCUCUUCCCUGUGAAUGAGUUUGUGUUGGCUGGAGCCGGCGAAGCCCUUGGCUGGCACAGCUGAGGGAGUUUGCCCUCUGAGCAUGACAGUCAGAAGGAUGGGAAUUUCUGAACUAAUUUGCUGUAAACAAUGAUCCAUAAUAGGUCGCUUCUCCCUUCAGCAGCUCAGCAAUUAAAUCUCUCGGAGACAUGAAUGUAAUUGGACUGCUGGCAAUUGGCACUUGGAGGAGUCCGGAGAGCUCUUCCAGUGACUUCCAUUGCACCACCUGGGAUUUCAUUUGCCUUUUGGCUGUGCUCGUUCAGCCCAGGAGUCCUUUGCUCAAGGAUACCUGGACACCCAAGGGUUUGAGGUGUAUAAAACUGAAGGCUGCUCGGUCGGAAAGCAUGAAGAAGCUCUUUGAAUUCAAUCUACAGAGCAGAAACUUUGCCAAGAUCAGCCGUUGCUUAAAGAGUUUGGGUUGGGGCCAAAUUUGGAGGCCGGCUGCCUUCUUGCUGAGCAGGUCUCUGGAGACAGCCUCAGUGCGCCGAGCUGAGGCUUCCAGGAGUGGCCACUGACGUUCGAGGCAGCUGAUGUCUGAGGCAGCUCGAACCAGUCACCUUGAAAAUCGGGGACUUUCAUAUCAUUUCCAGUUGGACCAUUAAGUAUCAAAGCCCAUAAAAUCAUUCAUCCUCUUCUGCUGUGGCCUCUUCAUUCUGCCUCCCCCUCUCCUUCAUGGUAAACUGUUUCAUCCAAUCGGGUUUGUCUGAGGUAGUUUGGAUUUCAGCCACAUAUAUAUUAUUUUUAUCUCUCCUGCUAUUUUGCUGGGCUUCUGUACAUGCAGGAUCACUGUUUUAUCUGUAAUUUUAACAGUGAGGAUGUGAAUUAGAGGGUUUUUAUUUCACUUGUGGCUUUCCAUCCACUAUUGUGUAUUAAACCAAGCUUUGCUUGAAGACAAUAAUAAUAAAUAUCCUUUGUGUCUUCCCUGUUA